rnacentral:rRNA from 1 species
UACGUAUGUCCCAAGCGUUAUCCGGAUUUAUUGGGCGUAAAGCGAGCGCAGGCGGUUUUUUAAGUCUGAUGUGAAAGCCUAAGGCUCAACCGUAGAAUUGCAUCGGAAACUGGAUGACUUGAGUGCAGUAGAGGUAAGUGGAACUCCAUGUGUAGCGGUGGAAUGCGUAGAUAUAUGGAAGAACACCAGUGGCGAAGGCGGCUUACUGGACUGUAACUGACGUUGAGGCUCGAAAGUGUGGGUAGCAAACAGG